rnacentral:rRNA from 1 species
CCUACGGGGGGCAGCAGUGGGGAAUAUUGGACAAUGGGGGCAACCCUGAUCCAGCCAUGCCGCGUGUGUGAAGAAGGCCCUCGGGUUGUAAAGCACUUUCAGUGAGGAAGAACGCCUGGUGGUUAAUACCCAUCAGGAAAGACAUCACUCACAGAAGAAGCACCGGCUAACUCCGUGCCAGCAGCCGCGGUAAUACGGAGGGUGCGAGCGUUAAUCGGAAUUACUGGGCGUAAAGCGCGCGUAGGUGGCUUGAUAAGCCGGUUGUGAAAGCCCCGGGCUCAACCUGGGAACGGCAUCCGGAACUGUCCAGCUAGAGUGCAGGAGAGGAAGGUAGAAUUCCCGGUGUAGCGGUGAAAUGCGUAGAGAUCGGGAGGAAUACCAGUGGCGAAGGCGGCCUUCUGGACUGACACUGACACUGAGGUGCGAAAGCGUGGGUAGCAAACAGGAUUAGAUACCCCAGUAGUC